AAAAUGACAAACCCUGAGUUUUCGUGUCCAACAUAAAUAUUAAUUUUUUUACGAUUAAUAUUUUUAUUGUUAUUAUAUGAUAAAACAUAAAUAGUACUUUAUGUGUGACUAACUUUUUUUAAUUUUCUCAUAAAUUUUUCAAAUAAGACGGACGGUCAAACGUUGGACACGGAUUUCUACGGCUGCACUUAUU
rfam:Oryza sativa Japonica Group DNA, chromosome 7, cultivar: Nipponbare, complete sequence.